rnacentral:rRNA from 1 species
AGUGAACGCUGGCGGUAGGCCUAACACAUGCAAGUCGAACGGCAGCACAGUAAGAGCUUGCUCUUACGGGUGGCGAGUGGCGGACGGGUGAGGAAUACAUCGGAAUCUACUUUUUCGUGGGGGAUAACGUAGGGAAACUUACGCUAAUACCGCAUACGACCUACGGGUGAAAGCAGGGGAUCUUCGGACCUUGCGCGAUUGAAUGAGCCGAUGUCGGAUUAGCUAGUUGGCGGGGUAAAGGCCCACCAAGGCGACGAUCCGUAGCUGGUCUGAGAGGAUGAUCGGCCACACUGGAACUGAGACACGGUCCAGGCUCCUACGGGAGGCAGCAGUGGGGAAUAUUGGACAAUGGGCGCAAGCCUGAUCCAGCCAUACCGCGUGGGUGGAGAAGGCCUUCGGGUUGUAAAGCCCUUUUGUUGGGAAAGAAAAGCAGCAGGUUAAUACCCCGCUGUUCUGACGGUACCCAAAGAAUAAGCACCGGCUAACUUCGUG